GCUGUCGGCAUUGCCUUCAAAAAAUUUCAGGCCAUAAUAUAAAUUUUAAUUUCCCCCCACACCUCCCUUUUUCCUUCUUCCCUUUUUCAUUCUUUUUCCCUCUUCUUCCAACCGAAAACGUUCAACCUCUUUUUCGCACCGCCUGGAAAGAGUUUUCACACCAUCAUUUCUUCUUCUUCUUUCUUUGUGGAACCGCACACUCAGGGCUUCUUCUUCUUCUUCUGAUACUUUGCGCUGGGCAGUUCAAAUAAGAAGAGGAUAAUAUUUGGCUCACGCACAACAGCAUAUAGCUAUUCAGGCUCUUUGGGAUAAAACUAUUGAGCUCAGAUUUUUGCUUCAAAAAGCAAUCUAAAGUUCAAAUAGAUCAUCUCAGGAAAUCGGUCAACAUAUCUUCUAAUUUUCUAGCCUAGGCAUCUGUCACAAUCAACACCAACUAAAAAGAGAAAACAAGAAGAUAUUGAGGCGAUUAUACCUUCCACUCAACAUCCACAACCCCCAAAGCUUCCCUGUGUAGAGCCAUUGACACAGGAGGUAGUGUCAAUCUCUCACAAUGAUUUGACAUUUAUGUCAAGCAAUUUGACUUAUAUUUAUUGAAGUUUGGAUCACCAUGGAAUAAUGACUACCACAAGAAGAUUAAUAUCCCAUCGCAUGUGUUUUGGAUACAACAUGAUUCCUACGUUUUUCAAGGAUGAUGUGACAUAAUUUUACAACAUGGACAAGAUUAGGCAAACUCUAAUGAUAUUUAUAUUUGAGGUUGUUGGAUGAUAUACUAUGUACCAAUGGGUUGGAUCAUUUGUACGCAUUUCAGCAUCCAGGUGAAGUUAGUGUAGGUCAUGAGAAUAAGCGUGCCCAAACACUUAAAGAUCGAUUCAUUCAAAUGGGCGAGAAGCAGUUCCUUAUUUGUCCCUUGAAUAACAAUGAACAUUGGAAUAACAACCUCACUCACAUUCAGUGGCGUUCUUGGAUCCCAUUAACCAUCAAUUACGCAUUGAGAUUAAAAAUAUAGUUAGACUUGCUUUCAAGCUAUAUGAUACGGAAAAAGGAAAAAGAGUUAUAAGUCUAAAGUAUUAUAGUCCAAAAUGCCUACAACAACCAAAAACCACAGAGUGCGGUAUCUACUGCAUGAAGUAUGCUAGGGAUCUCAUUUCACAACAAAGAACCAGAGCAUAUCUAUCGAAUAAUAUAAUAAUUGAAUAUGCUUACAUUUUAACUUUAAUAAAGUUAUAUUUUAAUUAUAUAUUUGACUAAAAUUGAAAUUAUUUGUAGUUCAAUUCAGAUUUACUAUAUACUGACGCUGAACUUAAUGAA